rnacentral:rRNA from 1 species
AACGAACGCUGGCGGCAGGCUUAACACAUGCAAGUCGAACGGGUGCAGCAAUGCAUCAGUGGCAGACGGGUGAGUAACACGUGGGAACCUUCCUAGGGGUACGGAACAACUCAGGGAAACUUGAGCUAAUACCGUAUACGUCCGAGAGGAGAAAGAUUUAUCGCCCUUAGACGGGCCCGCGUCGGAUUAGCUAGUUGGUGGGGGAACGCCGUACCAAGGCGACGAUCCGCAGCUGAUCUUAGGGGAUGAUGAGCCACACUGGGACUGAGACACGGCCCAGACUCCUACGGGAGGCAGCAGUGGGGAAUCUUGGACAAUGGGCGCAAGCCUGAUCCAGCCAUGCCGCGUGAGUGAAGAAGGUCUUCGGAUUGUAAAGCUCUUUUGCCAGGGACGAUAAUGACGGUACCUGGAGAAUAAGCCCCGGCAAACUUCGUGCCAGCAGCCGCCGUAAUAC